rnacentral:sRNA from 1 species
UAAAGGUCUGAAGGUAUUCGCUAUUGGAGUUGGUUCUAACACUAAGAGAAGCGUACUUGAAAGCGUGGCUUCUUCACCAAGCUAUCAAUUUGCCUUUAUAUCCAGAAACUUCGAUUCGCCAAGAUGCGUCAAGAUAAUAUUAGCUUGGACUAGACCAACAUGCAAAGACCAGUGGUUCUCAAAAAAUUGCCAGUGGGGCCUCCCCUCCAGCUGGAAGUGUGGGUGAGCCCUGUAAGCUCCCACUGUGGGCAUUUGAAAAAUAAAUUUAAAAAGACUU